GUGGUUCCAGCAUCCCAGGGAAUCUAAAGUGUCAUUUCCUCUCUGGAAGAAAGGAAGCACAAAACAAGCUAGGCUUCACUGACUUCAGUCAAUCAAUAUUGACAUAUUAUAAAACCUCAGAUCUGCAACCUUAUCUUCUGAUCUGGUAAUUUUCAUUUGAGGAGAAAAGGCAUUAAGCCCUGACAGUCUAUGCAUUUCCUUGGAACGUGGGUUGAUUUUAUGUGCACAAAAAGUGGACGCUGAGCUCUUUAACACUCUUCUCAAUGGUAAGCGUACUCUGCACUGUAACACAUAAUGCAUUUUCUCAAGGACUUUUUCUGUAUUUUGAAAACAAGAACUGAAGGUAUUUGGUAGAUGUGGAACCUGAUUCACAGAAAACUGAAAUAAUCAACUUGAGCUCAAACAGGCAGUGCCUGGGCAAGUUUGAUCAGAACCUUGACCUUUUAUCUCUCUAUUUUGCUUUAACAUUAUGUAGAAUCUUUUUUUUUUCAUCCAGCUAGGAAGAAAAAGAAAAAAAAAGCUUUAACAGACAUUUGAGAAUGAACUGUUACCUCUUACUCGUCUUGAUAUAUAAACCCUUGACUGUCAAUGCUAAACAAGAAAAUAUCAAGGGAAGAAAUUCAGUUAUAUUGAAAUACCAUCCACAAACACCAUAACAAGAAAUGUAGACUUAAACAGGUAAAUUCUGGUAGCUAUGAACUUUUGAAUGAAUUAUGUGAGUUAAAAGUUAAUUUUGAUACUGGCUGGAUCUUAAAACAUAUUUCUCGUUGAAAUUAUGUGUAUCUGCUGAAUAUGUUCUCGGGAAAGAAUGGAAAAAAAGCCUAUUUAAUGCAAAAUGGACUUGAACAAUUGUAAUAAUAGUAGUACUAUUUCAACUAUGCCUCACAUGUUUCAGUGGGAGAAAACAUGUCAAGCUCUGGACUUUCACACCCAGACCACUUCAAAAGCAUAUGUGACUGAUUCCGGUGGUAGCAGGAGAUGCACAGGGAGCAGACUAAAUGACAGACAAACUGACGAUGGGAGCAGGUUUCAAAACCAGUUUCUUAAUUCUACAUCUCUAUAGGAUAAAUGACAUUUUUUUGUCUGCAGAAAGGAUGUCAGACAGUCCUUGGGUUCCCCAAAUUGAAAAAGAAUGAGAAGUUAUUCUCUAGCAAGUGGAGGUCUGAAUGCAGACCAUCCCUCAUUCUAUGUGUAGACCUGCAUUGUAUGCGAGAGAGCGGUCUUUCUGAUGGUGGCCCAAGACCCAAGAUAACACAUAGGAAAGAAAAGCAAUUGAGGAGGGAGGAAACACA